ensembl:lncRNA
GGAAGAGGGACAAAGUAAUGGAAGACCAUAAAUCAAUGAUUUCUAUUCCGAGGCACUCAGAUCAACGUUUUGCUGAGGACUGUGACACCGAUUGUGCCAGAGCUAUUGAUUGACACAUUUACUUUUUAAUUUUCCAGUCUUCAUGAGUGUCUGUACACGUAACAGUCAGUCCAUUCCUGAUGAGAAAGAGAUCCUUCUUGAAUUCCGUCCCCCGCCCAAACGCACAACUUUAUAAACACCAGGAUAAAGAGGCCAAAAUGGAAAAAAUUGCUGUCGUGCAAAGUUACAUGAAGGACAUCAGACAGGCCGAGCGAGCCGAUGGCAGAGUGACAGCCCCGUGUGAUGGCUCUGACUGAUAAACACCAACCUGCAAAUGAAAGGCUCUUCAGUCCCCAUCAUCCCCUGUCACAAUGCAAUUACUCUACAGGGCGAUAGCAAGAUAGAGGCUCGCAGGCAAGCAGAUAAUAAAGCUAUUGACUGAUGUGACUUAGUGAUUAGAAUGUAAGAAAAAAAGAACAUAAGGACAGAAAAGCGCCUCCAGAUUGUCAGGAUUUGUGACCGUUUUUUCCUCACCGACACAGAUACAGUUCAAGCCAGAUGAACAAUCCUAUCGGAGCAUCUGAAUAUGUCCUGCUGCACUGAGCUGAAUUUGAGUGAGCCAGAUAGAGGGGGUGAAAAAAUACAUUUGACUUGAGGAUCUGUGUUUAAGUGUUUCAUUGUGUCCUUCAGAGAGCUUUUGACUUUGAACUGUUGAGCGGUGCUCCUCUUCCUCCACUCCCUCCUUGUCAUGUAUUUACACUCAGAGCAGAGAUUGAAGACAUAAACGUGUAAUUAGUCUCAUUGUUGUCUUUGCAGAUUAGGAGCACUGUCGGAGCAUGUCGUUUGAGGGGGCCGUAAGUUUGCAGCAUGAUUGGCUGAGGGGGGGGGGGGGGCUGGUCGGGGCACCCUGCCGUGGGCAGAAAUAGUGUUUCCCCCAGGCGUAAUUUUAGUGUAGUGAGUGUGAAUAACGAGUGAUUAUUAAUCAGAGCCCGGCAGUGUGAUCACAGCUUCCUCUCCGAGAGUUCAGGGGUGAUGUUCAAAUUCUCUUUACUCAGUGAGGAACUGUGAUGGUUUAGAGUAAGCAAGAUUUAGAUUGAGACGGGCUGAAAUACGAAGUACAAUGAUUUGACAUGCAGGUGGCUUGGGAACGUUUGUGAGGGAAAAGGGGCUUGCUGUCGGUUUUGAUGCUGCGAUGCUCUGAUUAUGUGACACAUGUGGUGACAUUGGGCAAAAGCCACUAGGGAAGCGCAUUUCUGCCACCCCGUCGGUGCCCGGGGGCAACUUUGCACCCAUGUAGCGCCUGAGAACGACAGUUAUCAGAUGGUCCCCGUAACAAAGGAUAUUGCAUCACGUUAUUUGCCCUCUGGUCUGAUGUGACAGCAUUAUUUAAUUGUUUUAAACAUCUUCAUGCAUCAGUAGUCCGGGAAGAACCGCCGACAAUGGUGGCAAAAUAUGAUGAUGAUGCAGUGCCAAAAGGAAAUUGGAGAGAGUGGGAGGAAGUAGUUUUCUUUGCACACAUACAUUUUAUACCUUCCAUCUGUUCAAGGGUUUAGAUGAUCUGGCGUAUGAGUAAUUUUGUUUCUUUAAUGCGAAGGACAUUUUGAAACACUCCGCUCAGUGUAACUACACAGCCUUGGCUUUCCUGUGAAAACCCGCUAUUGUGGUGGUGCUCCAAAUACAUCUGAAAGUGGAAAACUAUACUAGAGCAUUUUAGACACAUGAGCUGCCUCUGGAAAAUGCAAGCUGCAUUUUUUUUUUUUUGAGGAAAUUCCUUAAAGGAGUAUUCUGGGUUCAAUAGAAGUUAAGCUCAAUCAACAGCAC